AAACUACUCCCUCCGUCCCAAAAUCUUGUCUUAAGUUUGUCUAGAAAUGUAUUUAUCUACAUACUAAAAUAUGACUAGAUACAUUCAUAUAUAGACAAAUGUAAGACAAGAAUUUUGAAACGGAGGGAGUAAUAU
rfam:Hordeum vulgare subsp. vulgare, WGS project CAJW01000000 data, contig: morex_contig_126954